AUUGAACGCUGGCGGCAUGCCUUACACAUGCAAGUCGAACGGCAGCAUGAUCUAGCUUGCUAGAUUGAUGGCGAGUGGCGAACGGGUGAGUAAUACAUAGGAACGUGCCCUGUAGUGGGGGAUAACUAGUCGAAAGAUUAGCUAAUACCGCAUACGACCUGAGGGUGAAAGUGGGGGACCGCAAGGCCUCAUGCUAUAGGAGCGGCCGAUGUCUGAUUAGCUAGUUGGUGAGGUAAAGGCUCACCAAGGCGACGAUCAGUAGCUGGUCUGAGAGGACGAUCAGCCACCCUUGGACUGAGACACGGCCCCGACCCCUAAGGGAGGCAGCAGUUGGGAAUUUUUGACAAUGGGCGAAAGCCUGAUCCAGCCAUGCCCCGUGUGUUAAGAAGGCCCUCCGGUUGUAAAGCACCUUUGUCCGGAAAGAAAUGGCUCCGGGUAAUACCUUGGGUCGAUGACGGUACCGGAAGAAUAAGGACCGGCUAACUACGUG
rnacentral:rRNA from 1 species